AACGCGAAGAACCUUACCUGGGCUCGAAAUGUACAGGAAUGCGGUAGAAAUAUCGCCGUCCAGUAAUGGACCUGUAUAUAGGUGCUGCAUGGCUGUCGUCAGCUCGUGUCGUGAGAUGUUGGGUUAAGUCCCGCAACGAGCGCAACCCUUAUUACCAGUUGCUACCAUUUAGUUGAGCACUCUGACGAAACCGCCUCGGAUAACGGGGAGGAAGGUGGGGAUGACGUCAAGUCCUCAUGGCCUUUAUGUCCAGGGCUACACACGUGCUACAAUGGCCGGUACAAACCGUCGCAAACCCGUGAGGGGGAGCUAAUCGGAAAAAGCCGUCCUCAGUUCGGAUCGCAGUCUGCAACUCGACUGCGUGAAGCUGGAAUCGCUAGUAAUCGCGGAUCAGAACGCCGCGGUGAAUACGUUCCCGGGCCUUGUACACACCGCUAGUC
rnacentral:rRNA from 1 species